rnacentral:rRNA from 1 species
CACGCCGUAAACGUUGUAUACUAGGUGUUAGCGGAUUUAUCCGCUAGUGCCGAAGCUAACGCAUUAAGUAUACCGCCUGGGGAGUACACUCGCAAGGGUGAAACUCAAAGAAAUUGACGGGGGCCCGCACAAGCGGUGGAUCAUGUGGUUUAAUUCGAUGAUACGCGAAGAGCCUUACCUGGGCUUGAACUGUGCCUGACAGGUGUAGAGAUACACCCUCCUUCGGGAAGGUACAGAGGUGCUGCAUGGUUGUUGUCAGCUCGUGUCGUGAGAUGUUGGGUUAAGUCCCGCAACGAGCGCAACCCUUACCCCUUGUUGCUAACAGGUAACGCUGAGCACUCUAGGGGGACUGUCGGUGAUAAACCG